GUAACGGAAGUAGCUUGCUACUAGACGACGACCGGCGCACGGGUGAGUAACGCGUAUGUAAUCUGCCUUGUACAGAGGGAUAGCCCAGAGAAAUUUGGAUUAAUACCUCAUAGUAUUACUGAAUCGCAUGAUUUGGUAAUUAAAGCUCCGGCGGUACAAGAUGAACAUGCGUGACAUUAGCUAGUUGGUAAGGUAACGGCUUACCAAGGCCACGAUGUCUAGGGGUUCUGAGAGGAUGAUCCCCCACACUGGUACUGAGACACGGACCAGACUCCUACGGGAGGCAGCAGUGAGGAAUAUUGGUCAAUGGACGCAAGUCUGAACCAGCCAUCCCGCGUGAAGGAUGACUGCCCUAUGGGUUGUAAACUUCUUUUAUAUGCAAAUAAACCUACUUUCGUGAAAGUAGCUGAAGGUAGCAUAUGAAUAAACACCGGCUAACUCCGUGCCAGCAGCCGCGGUAAUACG
rnacentral:rRNA from 1 species